rnacentral:rRNA from 1 species
GAUGAACGCUGGCGGCGUGCCUAAUACAUGCAAGUCGAGCGAACAGACGAGGAGCUUGCUCCUCUGACGUUAGCGGCGGACGGGUGAGUAACACGUGGAUAACCUACCUAUAAGACUGGGAUAACUUCGGGAAACCGGAGCUAAUACCGGAUAAUAUAUUGAACCUCAUGGUUCAAUAGUUAAAGACGGUUUUUCGGUCACUUAUAGAUGGAUCCGCGCCGCAUUAGCUAGUUGGUAAGGUAACGGCUUAACAACGCAACGAUGCGUAGCCGACCUGAGAGCGUGAUCGGCCACACGGGAACUGAGACACGGUCCAGACUCCUACGGGAGGCAGCAGUCGGGAAUCUUACGCAAAGGGCGAAAGCCUGACGGAGCACCGCCGAGUGAGUGAUGAAGGUCUUCGGAUCGUAAAACUCUGUUAUUAGGGAAGAACAAAUGUGUAAGUAACUAUGCACGUCUUGACGGUACCUAAUCAGAAAGCCACGGCUAACUACGUG